ensembl:lncRNA
GUGGUUCGGCAAAGGAGAUCUGGUGGGGGUAGCAGAGCUUUGAGAUCCUCUGGACAGUUUUCAGUGUGCAUUUUAAAAAGCACAGUUGUUGCUGCAACAGUUCUACGUUGGCUGAGCUGGCUAAUUGCAUAUUUCCUUAGGGCAGUGUCCUCAUCCUCCCCAAUGAUUUUCAGUGCCUUUUUCUGGAUGUUGUCAAGCUGCCCAAGGGUGGUCUGUGAUGCUUGUUGGCCAACCUACGCAGAGCUCCUAGACGCUGUCCAGCACGCUUGCAGAUGUUUGACAGGUGAUUAGUCCAUAGCAACUUCCUAUCGAUACAUAGUCCCAGAAUAUUCAACUGCUCACAAAGGUCAAUUCUGAUUGUCCCCCAAAAAAGGUUCGGGCAGUGAUAAGGGUUUUACAAAAACAGAGCUAUAAGAGAGUAGUGAGGUAUGCAGGUGUUCCAACAGUAAGAACAGAGUUAACAGAGACAGCUAGGAAACACCACUGGGACAGCCUUGGACAUCAACUGGAAGAAUAACAGCAGAGGAAGCGGCAAGACCAGGCAGAUAAUAAAAAAAAAAAAAAAAAAAAAAAAAAACGAGUAAGGCACCAAAGAGCUGAGCUCAGACACUUGUUAACCACAGACUGAGAACCAGUGGCAGGACAGGAACUCUAACAACACAGAGACAAGACAGGACAAGUCUCCACAGGAACACAAAUUACUCCAAUGCAGGCAUGGGGAUACAUGCAACAAAAGUGAUAAAGUAAAAGUAACAAGAAAAUUACCAAAUUAACCAACAACUAAAAGAACAAACAGAUGCAAAACAAAAAGAUCAAGACUAGAAGAAUUGAAUAAAUACAAAAAUAAAGACAAAAACAGACAAAAUGCAAAGGAGCAAGACAAGAACAAGGAACUACAGUACAAAAGACUAGACAAGACAAGGACACAAGACCAGCCAGGACUGAGACCGAGACAGAAGGGAUGAAAAUGACCACAAACCGGUUAAGACAAGAGGGCAAGGAGAACUAUAUAUAGGGAGGAGGGCACAUGAGGAACAGGUGAGAGCAAUUAGAUCAACAAGGACUCAAGAGGGCUAACAAGAGGGUGUGGUAAAGAGGAAACAAGGAGGAGGGGCUAGAGAAGCAGAUGGCUGACAAAAACAACAAAGCCAUGAGCUGACACAUAAGACAACCAUAGACACGUGAAACAAAGUCAAAACAAACAGGGUGUCAGGGCAGAACCCUGACAGAUGAGUAAUUAGUCAAAAGGAAUUAAUGAAGCUUUUAUUCUUAUAGAUGCAUGCUAAUACCCUGAUUAUACUGUCUGAUUAUCUGAUUCUAUUGUCUUUAAUUAGCAGAGUUUUCAGAUGACCAUGUCUGUAAUCAUAAUAUUAAUCAUCUGCCUGUAAUCUUAAUCUGAUAGGAGGUGAAAUAAAAUGAGAACAGUCAGCAAUAUGUCAGGAAACCUUUGUAGAGUUAAUGGCCAUUUUUUUUCAAGAUUAAUGAUUAUAGUAAAAUAUAAAUAUAGAUCUACAUACUAUAAAUGAUAAUUAGUCAAGCAAAGCAUCACUGUGAGACAAACUGGAAUAAAAUUAAUAAUAAAUGUUUCCUACAGUAACCCAAAAAACUAUUCAUUCAACCUAUGCUACUACCUACUGAUGAAAUAUGGAAAUGGGAGAAACAUUAUUUUAGAGAAGGUCCGCAAAAACACAUGAAAAUAAAGAAGACAUACAAUCUCUUCACUUAUAGGGGCUCUAAUGAUGCAGAGGAUUGGAUGAAUUAAUAAAUAUUUUCCAAUUAUUAACUGGACACUCCAGUGAAAAAACAAAAAAACAAAAAAAAAACAUAACAUAUAAGAACUUUGUUGCUUGUGAGAGCAUGAGCUUGAUUAAAUAGCUAAACAAAUUAAAGAAAUUAAUCCUACAUGUAAACUUAAAUUAGUUAUAUUUAGAGUAACCAUUUUUUAUCAAUUCACAAAAUAAUAAUUAAUUACAAAUAAUAAAAAUCAUAAAUAAUAUUAACAACACUAGAAUAAUAAAAAAAUAAUAAUAAUAAUAAUAAUAAUAAUAAUAAUAAUAAUAAUAAUAAUAAUUAAUACUAAUAAAAAUAUAUUAUUAUUAUUAUUAUUAUUAUUAUUAUUAUUAUUAUUAAAGAGGAGGAGGAUCUCAGAAAAUAAUAAAAGAGUUGCCAGACUACAUAGCAGGUGUUGAUAACAGGUGGAGAUUUCCACUCACACCUCAGAGAGAGAGAGUAUCAGAACAGAAUAAGUGGGGCAUGAAGAAAAAUAAAAAAAACAUGUCAAAGUUGCUGAAAGGCCUUGGAAAGUUCCAGCAGCUCGACUGGGCAGGAGGGGGAGAAUAACAAAGCAAUCACAGUGCUGUGGAUGUGUAGGGCUGUGGCCAAUCAGCAGGCAGUCAGCACUUUUAUUCCCCCUUCUUUUUUGCUUGGAUUCAUGCUGUGCUUUUAUUAUAGGACGUAGAUAUCAAGUACCCACUGGCUAUUUGCCCUUCUUCACAUGCUGAGCUCAAUUCUGGAAUGGAAAAAGUGCUGCUUUAUCCUGACCUGGGAAUACAAAGCCUUCUUCAGUCUCAAUCGAUAAGGUUCUGGCUCUGAUAGAAAACAGGGCACUAGAUCCUCCCCUUGGUAAUGGAGUUUACAUCUAGUGCUUUUCCCAAGCAGAAAACUGCUCUGAUGCCUUUAUCAAAACACAGUGGUGUGAUAUAGUUUAUUAAAACAGGUAUCACAAGCAGAACUAUCA